CUGACCUGGCGCUGGUGGAUGGCUCGCAGGAGUGCCUCUACUUUGUGGGCAACUCGCUGGGGCUGCAGCCAAAGCUGGCCAGGAAGUACCUGGAGGAAGAGCUAGACAAAUGGGAACAGAUGGGUGUACAUGGCCACAUGGUGGGCUCCCGGCCUUGGGCCUGGGCCGAGAACAACAUUGAGAAACUCAUGGCCGACGUUGUAGGAGCUAAAGAAGAAGAGGUUGCCCUCAUGAACGGCUUGACGGUCAACCUUCACCUGUUACUGCUCUCUUUUUACAAACCCACUGCAGAACGGCACAGAA